rnacentral:lncRNA from 1 species
AAUUUUUUUAUUUGAAUGUGGUUCGGUAGGUGACUUAGUCACUUGAAAAUGGUUUAGUGUAGAAACUUUUAACGGAAUUUUUUUUGUUUUGAAUGUGCUUUGAUAGGUGAAUUAGUUUCUUCAAAAUGGUUAAGUGUAGGGACUUUUAAGGGGAUUUUUUUAUUUUGAAUGUGCUUUGGUAGGUGACUUCGUUGCUUGAAAAUGGCUAAGUGUAGGGACUUUAUAGGGGCAUUUUUUGUUUUGAAUGUGAUUUGGUAGUUGACUUAGUUGGUUGAAAA